UAAUACAGAGGUGGCGAGCGUUGUUCGGAUUUAUUGGGCGUAAAGGGUCCGUAGGCGGUCCGGAAAGUUGGAUGUGAAAUCCUGCAGCUUAACUGCAGAACUGCAUUCAAAACUCCCGGACUCGAGUGUGAGAGGGGUAAAGGGAAUUCCCGGUGUAAGGGUGAAAUCUGCAGAUAUCGGGAAGAACACCAGUCGCGAAG
rnacentral:rRNA from 1 species